AGAGGAGGUAAAGAGAGUCUUGUUUGAAGACAUAAAUAGAGGUCAUUGACAUUAAAAAAAGGAGGAGAAUUUUCGGAAGGAUAAAAAUUUUCAGAACUUAAGAGUAAAAGGCUGGUCUUUUCUUUACUGUUGAAUAUUAGAACUAGUAAUGUUACUACUUCACUGGUAGUUGCUAGAUUUUCUGCUUGGUUCUUAAAACUAUUCCUGGGGUCUUCCUGCACGGUUUUUUACGGGUUUACUGAUUUGGUUGUUGAACCUGUUGUUGCUGUGUUGUGCUACUGCUGCACCACUGACUUCUUCCUCUUCUUUGCUUUCUAAAUACAAGGUACACGACUGUAACCCUCGCUAUUGUAAGCCGAAAAAAUGUAGAAGCAUGAAUACAUAUAAAAAUGGAAGUUUGAAGUUUUGAUUUAACUUUUCUNNNNNNNNNNNNNNNNNNNNNNNNNNNNNNNNNNNNNNNNNNNNNNNNNNNNNNNNNNNNNNNNNNNNNNNNNNNNNNNNNNNNNNNNNNNNNNNNNNNNNNNNNNNNNNNNNNNNNNNNNNNUAGAUUUCUGCCAGCUUUGUAUAGCUGGACUGUAUUCAGUUUGAUUUGGAUUAAUUGAAGUUAUAAUUAUAAUGAACUAUUAGGAUGUAGUUACCAGCUAUAGUAAUAUUCACUUGUAAAAUAAGGCACGAAACAAUACUCAAUUUUUACGAGCUCGAGUGCAAUUUUCGUUCGCAUUAAUCUAAUAACUAAUAAGAGGCCCGAACUUGCCAAGCAUCUAAAUUAAUUAGGAUUUUUCUUUUUUUUAAUUUAGAGACGAACUAAAUAGAAAAAAUAUAGUCAAUUUAGGAAUGUCCUUUAAAAACUAAAUAAGGCGUACCUCGCCAAUAAUAGUUGUAAAUUGUGGGGCCCUCAUACUUGUUUAAUAAAAAUUAUUUAGACUGUGGGACAUGCCGUUUAGCGAAUUCCACGGCUUUCUCAAAAUAGUAAUGCGUUAAUAUGUUUAGGCACGUAUUUAAUAAUGUUAUCUUCCCUAAACUCGUGUACACAUUUAUGUUACCCAAAUCCAAAUUCCAACGAAGUCGGAACAUAUUAAAAACUGCAUAUAUAUUUAUGUGACGCGGUUCGAGAUAUAUUCUCACGACGUUGUAAUUCUUUUAAAAAAUAAAUUAAAAAUAAAUAAUGAUAAAAACGUCUAAAAUUUAAAUUUGCAUGAGUUCAUAAUUUUAAUAAAAUCAGAUAAAUAAGUCGAAUAUGACAGCUCUGGCAACUCUGUUGGGAAAACAUAUCCUAGAACCACUGGUUCAGGGUUAGAAUUUCGAGCUUAGAAUAAUUGUUGUAUUUGGCUUUCUCUAUUAUCUGAUGUUUAUUACAUUUUAUACUGGGGAAAAUAUGACCCAAAAUAUCUGGUUCAGGGUUAGAAAAUCGAGCUUAGAAUAAUUAUUGUAUUUGACUUUCUCUAUUAUCUGAUGUUUAUUACACUUUAUUUUAGAUUUAAUGUGCAAAUUGUUGCUUAUUACCGCUUUGAUAUUAUUUGAACUGUGUAUAUAAAGUGCUGUGAAACCCUACUUCUUUCUGAGUCUUCUGAAAAUGGUGCAUACGUUCGCGUAGCCCGCCUUUUGAAAAAUUAUUCCAAAUAGAGCGAGUGUAGGGCAAGCGACAAGGUCGGGCAGACUUUAGUGCUCCCGUUACGUUACCCCCUCCUCAGCCCUAGUUGUCUGCUCGGGUUCCCCAACUCUAUACCAAAACCCAUGUUUUUCUUUUACCUAGUAAAACACGGCUUCAUGCCGGAUCCCUAGUAGGAAGGCUUAUACCCCCUCGUCAGCCCCAGUUGUCCGCUCGGGUUUUCCAACUCUAGACCAAAACCCAAGUUUUUCUUCUACAUAGUAAAACAUAGCUUCAUGUCGGAUCCCUAGUAGGAACGUUUAUUUACAUCAUGUGCAUUUGACUUAAGGGACUCAACACAGGGAUUGGGUCCAUCUAGGACAAGCAACCUGAAGUAAAAAAAUCAUCCUGCUGCAUCCUGUCUGUUUUAUGCAUUUAUUUACUUCGAACUGACAUGCUGACCGGAUUUGAAUACUGGAAAAUUGUAAAAAAAUGGAAAAAAAAAAACUAGCAGUGUAGAGUGUUCGUUACAUAUUUUUAGAAAAUCAAUUUCCAAAUAGUGGCGGAACUCUACCAAAAUUUUGGAAAAAAUGAAGAAAAAAAGAGAGUUGUUUUUAGUUUGAUUUAUUUGAAAAAAAAAAGUAAAAAAAAAAAUAAAAGAAUCCUUAUUUUCGGAUUUUCUUGUUUUCUACAUAGUUUAUUUGCCAACGGAAAAAAAAAAGAUUGUUUUACUGAAAAAAAAAAGAAUCUUUAUUUUUAGCUUGAAAAAAUAGGUUGAUUUGUUAUUUGGUGAAAAAGAAAAAGAGUUUUUGUUUUUAGUUUGGGAAAAAUAGGUUGUUUUAGUUUUGUUAAAAAUGAAAAGAAAAAAGAGUCAUUAUUUUGUCUUGUUUAAAAAAAGUUUAAUUUGUUUUGCCAUGAAAAAUAAAAAUGAAAAGAGUUGUGCUUUGAAAAUAAUUUUGUUAUUUGUUGCCAAAAAUGAAAAAAAAGAAUCAUGUUUUAAAAUAGUUCAGUUUAUUGGGCGAACUACGCCGGUUUGAUUCUCACAGGGUGUGAGAUACAUAGGCAACCCUCAUCGGGUCAAACCUACCCUUUGCAAAAAAUAGAAAAAAAUAUCAAAGUUUUUAUUUUCAUCAUAAAUAAGUCGGGUAAUGAUGUUUUUAUCAAAAAUAGCCAAAUGUUCUCGAAUGGGGCGCCGGAAGGUUAACUUUGUAUAAACAACCACCUUUGGGUCAUGUUUUUAGAUUUUGGCCAGCUGACCCACACAUCCUUAAAAUCUUUGCCCCGGAGUGCUGAAAGGUUGUCUUUGCAAAACUUGGCCUUUUAUUUUAAUUUGAAAAAAAGAGUUAGUAUGCAAGUGAUUGCCGUUCAAAUUUCUAGUAAAAAAUAAGCCGAGCCAGCUUCGGCUAUGUAUUAAACCGUUCUUACCGAGAUAGACUUAGAGUAUCUUUCAUUUGUCGAAAGGCUAUUUUCGUAAAAGAAUAGACAAGUUUGUAGAGUGUCGUGAAAUAAUUUUUCCGGCCUCAAAAUUCAUGUGAAUUGAGAGAGGGCCACGUUGCAGAAAUAGCCAUUUGGCUGAAAGUGGCAAAUAGGGAAAUGAAUCUAUCAGCUUGUUUUUGAGUUUGUAAUUCUUUUGAUAGAAUAUGUGGGUUGUUUCAUUUUCGAGUCCGUAUGUUAUCUUUUCGUCAAAUUUUGAUAGUUCGGUAUGUUUUUAAACCAUUGUAAUUAAAGUUGGUUUUAUUAUGAAAGUUGAAAAUUCCAAAAAAUGUUUUAUUGUUGUUUACUUUUUAUUGUUCUGAACUACGCAAGGACUGAUUCAAGCGGGGUCAUGAUACGUAAGAAAUCUCCAUAAGAUUCGACAACAACAAAAAUGAAAAAAAAAACCAAAAAAAUAGGAAAAUGAAAAAAGAAGGCAAAAGAUGUUGUAAUAAUAAGGACAUACUAAGUCCAUUCUAAUAUGUUUUGUCGAAAAAAUAAAAAAAACGUGGAAACGAAAGAAACAAAAGAUUUUGUUAAUAAUGAGGACCGACUAAGUCCAUUCUAACAUGUUUUGUUUUGAAUUUUGAGAAAGUUGGGGUGAUCGGUUUGUGGUAAGCUGGAAGCACAAGAUCCAGAAAAAUUUGAUUCAAGACAGUGACACCCAGAAUAUCACGUUGAAUCCUUUACAUACACAUGAUGAUGCACACUUUGUGAGGAUAAUGCCCGAUGACAUGGGUUAUGAGAAUCCUCUUAUUUGUGGUAAGCUUGAAUCACAAGAUCCAGGAAAAUUUGAUUCACGACAGUGACACCCAUAAUAUCACGCUGAAUCUUUUACAUAAAUAAGAUGAUGCACACUUUCUGGGAAUGAUGCCCGAUGAAUAUGGAUGCGAAACUCAAUGGCUAAAAAUGCUUGUUAAUUGGAAAGACGCUCCAUGUCUGGGUCAGCUGGAAGGAAUCUUGGUAGUGGGCUCUGAUUUUCCUUCUUGUUUUCUGGAUCAUUCCGCGGUUUUAAUCCGGCUUCUUUUAUUUUUUCCUUGUAAAAGGAUGAAACCUUGUUUCCCGUAAUUCAAUAAAAAUGAAAAAAAAAUUCUUCUUCACUUUUACUUUAGUUUAAUUUUGUCUUCUUGUUUUCUCUUUAUGAACAG
rnacentral:lncRNA from 1 species